UGCGCAGGUGGGUUUGUAAGUCAGUGGUGAAAUGCUGCCGCUUAACGGUAGAAUUGCCAUUGAUACUGCAAAUCUUGAGUAUGGUUGAGGUAGGCGGAAUGUGUCGUGUAGCGGUGAAAUGCAUAGAUAUGACACAGAACGCCGAUUGCGAAGGCAGCUUACUAAGCCAUUACUGACGCUGAGGCACGAAAGCGUGGGGAGCGAACAGGAUUAGAUACCCUGGUAGUCC
rnacentral:rRNA from 1 species